UACGAAGGGGGCUAGCGUUGUUCGGAAUUACUGGGCGUAAAGCGUAUGCAGGCGGAUCAUUAAGUCGGGGGUGAAAUCCCGAGGCUCAACCUCGGAACUGCCUUCGAUACUGAUGAUCUUGAGUCCGGGAGAGGUGAGUGGAACUGCGAGUGUAGAGGUGAAAUUCGUAGAUAUUAGGAAGAACACCAGUGGCGAAGGCGGCUCACUGGUCCGGUACUGACGCUGAGGAGCGAAAGCGUGGGGAGCGAACAGG
rnacentral:rRNA from 1 species